GGGUGCCGCAGCUCCCGGCUCCUCAUUGGAAUUCCGCGGGCGCGCCGCGGCAGCUGGCGGGAUGGCAGCGGAGUGACAGCGGUGACAGGGAUUGUGCUGGAGCUGGGACCUCUCCUGAUGCCCUCUGGAUCCCCUCAAGAGGUUUCCCUUGGGAGGGAUCUGCUGCCUCCUCCUCCUCUUCCUCCCUCUCCCAUCCACGGCUCUGCAGGAUCCUGUCCCGGCCCCUGCGUGACCUGCCGUGGCACCGUGCCCGUGCAAAGCUGCAAACCCGACCCUCAGCUGCCAGAACGGCGUCAGAAAAAUCAGGAAAUCAGUCACCAAAAACCCCGAGGAGGUGGAAACAAAGCCUGAGCAGCCUCUGCAUGGGCAAGGGAGGGGGCCGAGCCCUCCCUGGGCUGCCACAGGGUUGAUUCACGUCUCAGCACCGUCACAUUGAUUCUGCUGGAGAAUCCUUUCUUCCCUAAAUUCCUGCUUGCCCAGGAAGGCUGGGGAAAGUCUGAGCUGCCGCGACAACACCUGGGAACAAGAAUUAUUAUGUGGCGUGACAAGGUUUGAUGAAUUCCUGUGUGCCUGGGGGAAGGGACUAAGUAGGUGAAUGAAGUGCGAAUAUUCUCGGUGACAAUCGAUAGCCUCGAUUGAGCCGUCUGGCAGAUGUGACAUUUGGGUUUCACUGCCCGGACAGGCUCACGGGACUGACGGCCUGGGAGCAGCAGGGAGUGAGGGCUGCA